UGAGAAAAGUUACUUUUACUUCACCGUC
rnacentral:piRNA from 1 species